AACCGUGCAAAGGUAGCGUAAUCACUUGUCCCUUAAAUAGGGACCCGUAUGAAAGGUUACUUGAGGAUAAAACUGUCUCUUACGGCCAAUCAAUGAAACUGAUCUCCCAGUACAAAAGCUGGGAUAAACCCAUAAGACGAGAAGACCCUGCGGAGCUUCAAGCCACAGUACUGACACACCAAACACCACACCAACCUUGGCCACAAAAACAUGCAACAGUAUUAACUUUUAGUUGGGGCGACUACGGAGAAAAACUAACCUCCAUGAUACCAGGCUAACAACCACCACAAGACCAACACGUCACGUGAUAAAAUCAACUGACCCAGCACAGCUGAUUACCGAACCAAGUUACCCCAGGGAUAACAGCGCCAUCCCCUUUAAGAGUCCAUAUCGCCAAGGGGGUUUACGACCUCGAUGUUGGAUCAGGGCCCCCAGAUGGUGUAGCCGCUAUCAAAGGUUCGUUUGUUCAACGAUUAAAGCCCUACGUGAU
rnacentral:rRNA from 1 species